GGCCCGAUGGCGCAACGGUAGCGCGUCAGAUUCCAGAUCAGUCCGAUAUGUUAAAGUGUCGAGACUUUGUGGUUAUACCUGAAGGUUAGGCGUUCAAAUCGCCUUCGGGUCA